GAAGAAGGUCUUCGGAUUGUAAAGUUCUUUUAUUGGAGAAGAAAGUAUGUAAUAGGAAAUGAUUAUAUAUUGACGGUAUCCAUUGAAUAAGCCCCGGCUAACUACGUGCCAGCAGCCGCGGUAAUACGUAGGGGGCGAGCGUUAUCCGGAAUUAUUGGGCGUAAAGCGUGCGUAGGCGGUUUGUUAAGUCACUUGUAAAAGAUCUCAGCCCAACUGAGUAGGGCGAGUGAAACUGGCAGACUUGAAUACGGUAGAGGUAAGUGGAAUUCCAUGUGUAGCGGUGGAAUGCGUAGAUAUAUGGAGGAACACCAAUGGCGAAGGCAACUUACUGGGCCGGAAUUGACGCUGAGGCACGAAAGCGUGGGGAGCAAACAGGAUUAGAUACCCUGGUAGUCCACGCCGUAAACGAUGAGAACUAAGUGUUGGAGUAAAAUUCAGUGCUGAAGUUAACGCAAUAAGUUCUCCGCCUGGGUAGUACGAUCGCAAGAUUGAAACUCAAAGGAAUUGACGGGUUCCCGCACAAGCGGUGGAGUAUGUUGUUUAAUUCGAAGAUACGCGAAGAACCUUACCAGGUCUUGACAUACCAUUGACAGGAGUAGAGAUACUUUUUUCCUUCGGGACAAUGGAUACAGGUGGUGCAUGGUUGUCGUCAGCUCGUGCCGUGAGGUGUUGGGUUAAGUCCCGCAACGAGCGCAACCCU
rnacentral:rRNA from 1 species